AGAGGGGUGCGAGCGUUAAUCGGAAUCACUGGGCGUAAAGGGCUUGUAGGUGGGAUUUGUAAGUUAGAUGUGAAAGGCCUGGGGCUUAACCUAGGGACUGCAUUUAAGACUGUGAAUCUAGAGUAUAGUAGAGGGAAGUGGAAUUUCCGGUGUAGCGGUGAAAUGCGUAGAUAUCGGAAGGAACACCAGUGGCGAAGGCGGCUUCCUGGACUAAUACUGACACUGAAGAGCGAAAGCGUGGGUAGCGAACAGGAUUAGAUACCCUGGUAGUCCACGCCGUAAACGAUGAGAACUAGCUGACUGGAGCUUAGCUCUGGGUGGCGCAGCUAACGCGUUAAGUUCUCCGCCUGGGGAGUACGGCCGCAAGGUUA
rnacentral:rRNA from 1 species